AUUGAACGCUGGCGGCAGGCCUAACACAUGCAAGUCGAGCGGAUGAAGGGAGCUUGCUCCUGGAUUCAGCGGCGGACGGGUGAGUAAUGCCUAGGAAUCUGCCUGGUAGUGGGGGAUAACGUCCGGAAACGGGCGCUAAUACCGCAUACGUCCUGAGGGAGCAAGUGGGGGAUCUUCGGACCUCACGCUAUCAGAUGAGCCUAGGUCGGAUUAGCUAGUUGGUGGGGUAAAGGCCUACCAAGGCGACGAUACGUAACUGGUCUGAGAGGAUGAUCAGUCACACUGAAACUGAGACACGGUCCAGACUCCUACGGGAGGCAGCAGUGGGGAAUAUUGGACAAUGGGCGAAAGCCUGAUCCAGCCAUGCCGCGUGUGUGAAGAAGGUCUUCGGAUUGUAAAGCACUUUAAGUUGGGAGGAAGGGCAGUAAGUUAAUACCUUGCUGUUUUGACGUUACCAACAGAAUAAGCACCGGCUAACUUCGU
rnacentral:rRNA from 1 species